UGGGCGUAAAGGGCUCGCAGGCGGUUUCUUAAGUCUGAUGUGAAAGCCCCCGGCUCAACCGGGGAGGGUCAUUGGAAACUGGGGAACUUGAGUGCAGAAGAGGAGAGUGGAAUUCCACGUGUAGCGGUGAAAUGCGUAGAGAUGUGGAGGAACACCAGUGGCGAAGGCGACUCUCUGGUCUGUAACUGACGCUGAGGAGCGAAAGCGUGGGGAGCGAACAGGAUUAGAUACCCUGGUAGUCCACGCCGUAAACGAUGAGUGCUAAGUGUUAGGGGGUUUCCGCCCCUUAGUGCUGCAGCUAACGCAUUAAGCACUCCGCCUGGGGAGUACGGUCGCAAGACUGAAACUCAAAGGAAUUGACGGGGGCCCGCACAAGCGGUGGAGCAUGUGGUUUAAUUCGAAGCAACGCGAAGAACCUUACCAGGUCUUGACAUCCUCUGACAAUCCUAGAGAUAGGACGUCCCCUUCGGGGGCAGAGUGACAGGUGGUGCAUGGUUGUCGUCAGCUCGUGUCGUGAGAUGUUGGGUUAAGUCCCGCAACGAGCGCAACCCUUGAUCUUAGUUGCCAGCAUUCAGUUGGGCACUCUAAGGUGACUGCCGGUGACAAACCGGAGGAAGGUGGGGAUGACGUCAAAUCAUCAUGCCCCUUAUGACCUGGGCUACACACGUGCUACAAUGGACAGAAC
rnacentral:rRNA from 1 species